CACGUAGGGUGCGAGCGUUGUCCGGAAUUAUUGGGCGUAAAGAGCUCGUAGGCGGUGUGUCGCGUCGGCCGUGAAAACCUGCAGCUUAACUGUGGGCUUGCGGUCGAUACGGGCAUCACUGGAGUUCGGCAGGGGAGACUGGAAUUCCGGGUGUAGUGGUGAAAUGCGUAGAUAUCCGGAGGAACACCAGUGGCGAAGGCGACUUUCUGGCCUGUUCUUGACGCUGAGGCGCGAAAGCUAGGGGAGCAAACGGG
rnacentral:rRNA from 1 species